rnacentral:rRNA from 1 species
UUCAGUGAAAUCGAGUAGGGCGGGACACGUGAUAUCCUGUCUGAAUAUGGGGGGACCAUCCUCCAAGGCUAAGUACUACUGACUGACCGAUAGUGAACCAGUACCGUGAGGGAAAGGCGAAAAGAACCCCUGUGAGGGGAGUGAAAUAGAACCUGAAACCGUGUACGUACAAGCAGUAGGAGCAGGCUUUGUCCUGUGACUGCGUACCUUUUGUAUAAUGGGUCAGCGACUUAUAUUCAGUGGCAAGGUUAACCAUCUAGGGGAGCCGUAGGGAAACCGAGUCUUAACUGGGCGUUCAGUCUCUGGAUAUAGACCCGAAACCAGGUGAUCUAGCCAUGGGCAGGUUGAAGGUUGAGUAACAUCAACUGGAGGACCGAACCGACUAAUGUUGAAAAAUUAGCGGAUGACUUGUGGCUAGGGGUGAAAGGCCAAUCAAACCUGGAGAUAGCUGGUUCUCCCCGAAAGCUAUUUAGGUAGCGCCUCGGACGAAUACUACUGGGGGUAGAGCACUGUUAAGGCUAGGGGGUCAUCCCGACUUACCAACCCUUUGCAAACUCCGAAUACCAGUAAGUACUAUCCGGGAGACACACGGCGGGUGCUAACGUCCGUCGUGGAGAGGGAAACAACCCAGACCGCCAGCUAAGGUCCCAAAUUACUACUAAGUGGGAAACGAUGUGGGAAGGCUCAGACAGCCAGGAUGUUGGCUUAGAAGCAGCCAUCAUUUAAAGAAAGCGUAAUAGCGCACUGGUCGAGUCGGCCUGCGCGGAAGAUGUAACGGGGCUAAGUAGUAAACCGAAGCUGCGGCAAUAUACUUUUGUAUAUUGGGUAGGGGAGCGUUCUGUAAGCGGUUGAAGGUGUGUGGUAACGCAUGCUGGACGUAUCAGAAGUGCGAAUGCUGACAUGAGUAACGAUAAAGGGGGUGAAAAACCUCCUCGCCGGAAGACCAAGGGUUCCUGUCCAACGUUAAUCGGGGCAGGGUAAGUCGACCCCUAAGGCGAGGCCGAAAGGCGUAGUCGAUGGGAAACGGGUUAAUAUUCCCGUACUUCUUACAAUUGCGAUGGGGGGACGGAGAAGGCUAGGUGGGCCUGGCGACGGUUGUCCAGGUUCAAGUGCGUAGGCU